rnacentral:lncRNA from 1 species
AAAAAAAAAAAGAGAAAUUGAACAAUUAUCCUAAUCUAACUACCCUACUCUAUCUGUAUCCAACUUCUCUCAACCUCUCUCCCCAUCAGCAUAUAAAUUCCCAACCCCCAGACAAAACAAGGAUGAACGGAUCAACACUAUCAGAAACUGAGAAAAGAAAAACACAGAGAUAAAAAAAAAUUAAAACAGAGAGUGAAGCACUAAAAAAACAUCAGACAAAAAAGAGAAGAAAGAGUUCUGAAUUGAGUUUCAAGUUUCCGUUUGAGUUUUCGGUGAUAACGUUCUUACUUUGAUAUUCAUUUAAUUCAUCACAUGGGUUCUUAUCCCAUUUGUAUUAUUAUUUCAUAAGUUUUAUUGUUA